rnacentral:misc_RNA from 1 species
CGAUGACCUGCCUAUCUACUGUUGGUGGUUAGGCACCAUUUGUUGGUCCUCAGUUAUUAUCUUAUUAGUUCCCUAAAUAGAGUUUUCUCCCACUAAAUUAAAACAGACUGGAAACCUAACUUUCCAAUUUAGGUUGUGCCGAAAUCAUACAUUUUAUAGAAAAGUAGUGAUGAACACUUCUAAAACCCUACAGAACAAGUAACUAAUUAUGGCAAACAUCUUCACAAAGCCUAAGAAAAGCAUACUUUAGAGAGAGCUAUUCAUUAAAUUAAUAUUGUUAGAUGUCUUACAGCAAAGUGGAACUUUGGCAAAUAUGUCAAACCGAAAAUUAUGAACUCCAUUUUUAAUGCUAAUGCAGAUGAACUAGAGAUAUAUUAACUACAAAGAGAAGUAAAGAACAUAACGUCCAACUAGGGGUGUGCAAACG